rnacentral:ncRNA from 10 species
AGUUAAUAUCAAGAGCAGUUCAUAUUUAAGAACUCACCAACCGGGCUCAGAUCAAUCAGAGAAUCGGUGGUAUUAGCCUUAAUCGCUAGAUGUGCCCAGGAAAAUGGGAAAUGUAAAGCCGCAAUU